UCAAAAUAUUCCUAGUUUGACACAGAGAUAGAUAUUUGUUAUGUAAGAACAUUAAUGAAAAUGUUCUAGAAUAUUCAUUUAUUUAUUUAAAAAUUGAAGAAUACAAAUAUAAAUAUUUUGAAAAUUACAAGAUCAAUCCUAUCCCGUUCCUGUUCAGAUCGAUCGACAGAAGGAAAAUGCCUCGCAAAUGUAUAUUAGGGUGUGGAGGCUCGUUACGGAUACACAAAUUUCCUGGGGAGCGAGAAAUGCCCAUAUGGCAGAACCUUAAAAUGUUGGAUAUAUGUACUCAUAUAUAUGUAACUUGAAGUGGUGGAUCGAAAUCAAUGAAACACUCAAUUUCCAAUUUUUGGAUCAUACGUUAUUUUGCAUAUUGGGUGCAUACAGAUAUAAUAAAUAAUUCAAUACAGUGAAAAAUUCAUAAACGAAUAAAGCCAAAAUUAAGCCGACCGACAUACAGUGGGAGAGUCUCUUAAUUACCUCCCCUGUGGAUCUACUUGUACAAACAGUACCCGUAUGUAUUUUUUUAUUUACAAAUAUUUGUUGAAACUGCUUUUAUUUCUUGAUAUGAAUAAUACUUUUGCGCUGCUUAAUUUUUUUGUACAGCUGGCUUGGUAUUUGUAC